CUGAAGGAGGAGAGACAAGAAAGAUAUGGGCAGGAAAGGCUAAAGUCACAGGGCGAUGCUGCUCCUCACUGCUCACCUUCAACACAGGGACAUCUUCUUUCUCCUGUGGUAAAGGAAACUGGUUGAAGAGAGGCAGCUCACAAUCAAGGAGUAGACAGAGAAGAAGGUCCAAACGGUUUGCUUCUUUCUUCACGACUAUAAAUGUGCAAUCUAAAUGCUCCUCCUGGAAAACCCUUAAGAAUGAGA